rnacentral:misc_RNA from 1 species
UGUCUCGCGCUGCCACCGGCUCCCAUACCAUUAGUUCGAUUCCCUAUUGUAUCAAAAUUAAUCUUAACCAAGUGUUGGUUGGGAGGUUCCCAAAGUUGUGGCACUAGAAUUGGAAUUGUGCUUUGUACUUUGGGCUUCUUGCCGCUAGGAAGUCGUCUCCAUGUUUCAAAGCCAUGGUUACGACGGGGUACAAGGAGAGCUGAUUCUGAAAGAGAAUGAGAUUUCGACCUUUCCAAAUCUUCCCGAGUAUGAAGACUAUGAGGGAAAUGAGCUCUUAUCCUUGUGCAUGUUGGAGGCUUUUUAAUCUGAAAUUAUGAGCCUCCUUCAAACUGAACUCUGAAUUUAUA